rnacentral:rRNA from 1 species
GAUGAACGCUGGCGGCGUGCGUUAACACAUGCAAGUCGAACGAAGCACCUUGGAACGCGUCUUCGGACAAAUGAAUUGGUGACUUAGUGGCGGACGGGUGAGUAACGCGUGGGUAACCUGCCUCACACAGGGGGAUAACAGUUAGAAAUGACUGCUAAAACCGCAUAACAUGGCGAGACCGCAUGACCUUGCCAUCAAAUAUUUAUAGGUGUGAGAUGGGCCCGCGUCUGAUUAGCUAGUUGGUGGGGUAAUGGCCCACCAAGGCGACGAUCAGUAGCCGGCUUGAGAGAGUGAACGGCCACAUUGGGACUGAGACACGGCCCAA